rnacentral:rRNA from 1 species
AACGAACGCUGGCGGCAUGCCUAACACAUGCAAGUCGAACGCCUAUAGCAAUAUAGGAGUGGCGCACGGGUGAGUAACGCGUGGGAACCUGCCCCGAGGUGGGGGAUAACCGAUGGAAACGUCGGCUAAUACCGCAUACGUCCUAAGGGAGAAAGAUUUAUCGCCUUGGGGAGGGGCCCGCGUCGGAUUAGCUAGUUGGUGGGGUAACGGCCUACCAAGGCGAUGAUCCGUAGCUGGUCUGAGAGGAUGAUCAGCCACACUGGGACUGAGACACGGCCCAGACUCCUACGGGAGGCAGCAGUGGGGAAUAUUGGACAAUGGGCGCAAGCCUGAUCCAGCAAUGCCGCGUGAGUGAUGAAGGCCUUAGGGUUGUAAAGCUCUUUCGGCGGGGACGAUGAUGAC